CGCAACACACGCUUACAUCCUUAGUCUAAGCCUCGCGCUCUUGUUAACCGGAGAGGUACAGGCAGAUAUCCGUGUGUUAAAGAUCAUCAAAGAACAAGUGAAAAGGAAGAAAAAAAAAUGUAUCUCAAGCUUUUUCUACUGUGUCUUAGCCUUAUCUUCUUCUGCCACAUCGGAGUUCUUCGUUUUCUUGUGAUUAAUAAGGAUAAUAACUUAAAAUAUAACUUUAGUGAUUCUAAAACCUUGAACGUCGUGCCUUCCACACCGCCCAGCAUAAACACUACGUUUGCGAAAGAGCGAGAAGAAGAAAAAAAUAAGAAAGAGAUAUCUGGAAGAACAGAAAAAAGGAGAUUAAAACAGUGAAAAGGGAUAGUGAUAGUGAUUGUUGUAGUCGUUGAGUGUAAUAGAAAAAGAAAAAAACGUGAAAAUUAAUCAACAAUUGUAAAAAAAAAAUGUGUAUAUAUAAACUGUAAAUUGUUAUGGCGUGUAUUUUAAAUAUAAUGAUUAUGAAAAUA